GGUUAAGCGACUAAGCGUACACGGUGGAUGCCCUGGCAGUCAGAGGCGAUGAAGGACGUGCUAAUCUGCGAUAAGCGUCGGUGAGGUGAUAUGAACCGUUAUAACCGGCGAUUUCCGAAUGGGGAAACCCAGUGUGUUUCGACACACUAUCAUUAACUGAAUCCAUAGGUUAAUGAGGCGAACCGGGGGAACUGAAACAUCUAAGUACCCCGAGGAAAAGAAAUCAACCGAGAUUCCCCCAGUAGCGGCGAGCGAACGGGGAGGAGCCCAGAGCCUGAAUCAGUGUGUGUGUUAGUGGAAGCGUCUGGAAAGGCGCGCGAUACAGGGUGACAGCCCCGUACACAAAAAUGCACAUGUUGUGAGCUCGAUGAGUAGGGCGGGACACGUGGUAUCCUGUCUGAAUAUGGGGGGACCAUCCUCCAAGGCUAAAUACUCCUGACUGACCGAUAGUGAACCAGUACCGUGAGGGAAAGGCGAAAAGAACCCCGGCGAGGGGAGUGAAAAAGAACCUGAAACCGUGUACGUACAAGCAGUGGGAGCCUCUUUAUGGGGUGACUGCGUACCUUUUGUAUAAUGGGUCAGCGACUUAUAUUCUGUAGCAAGGUUAACCGAAUAGGGGAGCCGAAGGGAAACCGAGUCUUAACUGGGCGUUAAGUUGCAGGGUAUAGACCCGAAACCCGGUGAUCUAGCCAUGGGCAGGUUGAAGGUUGGGUAACACUAACUGGAGGACCGAACCGACUAAUGUUGAAAAAUUAGCGGAUGACUUGUGGCUGGGGGUGAAAGGCCAAUCAAACCGGGAGAUAGCUGGUUCUCCCCGAAAGCUAUUUAGGUAGCGCCUCGUGAAUUCAUCUCCGGGGGUAGAGCACUGUUUCGGCAAGGGGGUCAUCCCGACUUACCAACCCGAUGCAAACUGCGAAUACCGGAGAAUGUUAUCACGGGAGACACACGGCGGGUGCUAACGUCCGUCGUGAAGAGGGAAACAACCCAGACCGCCAGCUAAGGUCCCAAAGUCAUGGUUAAGUGGGAAACGAUGUGGGAAGGCCCAGACAGCCAGGAUGUUGGCUUAGAAGCAGCCAUCAUUUAAAGAAAGCGUAAUAGCUCACUGGUCGAGUCGGCCUGCGCGGAAGAUGUAACGGGGCUAAACCAUGCACCGAAGCUGCGGCAGCGACACUAUGUGUUGUUGGGUAGGGGAGCGUUCUGUAAGCCUGUGAAGGUGGCCUGUGAGGGUUGCUGGAGGUAUCAGAAGUGCGAAUGCUGACAUAAGUAACGAUAAAGCGGGUGAAAAGCCCGCUCGCCGGAAGACCAAGGGUUCCUGUCCAACGUUAAUCGGGGCAGGGUGAGUCGACCCCUAAGGCGAGGCCGAAAGGCGUAGUCGAUGGGAAACAGGUUAAUAUUCCUGUACUUGGUGUUACUGCGAAGGGGGGACGGAGAAGGCUAUGUUGGCCGGGCGACGGUUGUCCCGGUUUAAGCGUGUAGGCUGGUUUUCCAGGCAAAUCCGGAAAACCAAGGCUGAGGCGUGAUGACGAGGCACUACGGUGCUGAAGCGACAAAUGCCCUGCUUCCAGGAAAAGCCUCUAAGCAUCAGGUAACAUCAAAUCGUACCCCAAACCGACACAGGUGGUCAGGUAGAGAAUACCAAGGCGCUUGAGAGAACUCGGGUGAAGGAACUAGGCAAAAUGGUGCCGUAACUUCGGGAGAAGGCACGCUGAUAUGUAGGUGAAGCGACUUGCUCGUGGAGCUGAAAUCAGUCGAAGAUACCAGCUGGCUGCAACUGUUUAUUAAAAACACAGCACUGUGCAAACACGAAAGUGGACGUAUACGGUGUGACGCCUGCCCGGUGCCGGAAGGUUAAUUGAUGGGGUUAGCGGUAACGCGAAGCUCUUGAUCGAAGCCCCGGUAAACGGCGGCCGUAACUAUAACGGUCCUAAGGUAGCGAAAUUCCUUGUCGGGUAAGUUCCGACCUGCACGAAUGGCGUAAUGAUGGCCAGGCUGUCUCCACCCGAGACUCAGUGAAAUUGAACUCGCUGUGAAGAUGCAGUGUACCCGCGGCAAGACGGAAAGACCCCGUGAACCUUUACUAUAGCUUGACACUGAACAUUGAGCCUUGAUGUGUAGGAUAGGUGGGAGGCUUUGAAGUGUGGACGCCAGUCUGCAUGGAGCCGACCUUGAAAUACCACCCUUUAAUGUUUGAUGUUCUAACGUUGGCCCGUAAUCCGGGUUGCGGACAGUGUCUGGUGGGUAGUUUGACUGGGGCGGUCUCCUCCUAAAGAGUAACGGAGGAGCACGAAGGUUGGCUAAUCCUGGUCGGACAUCAGGAGGUUAGUGCAAUGGCAUAAGCCAGCUUGACUGCGAGCGUGACGGCGCGAGCAGGUGCGAAAGCAGGUCAUAGUGAUCCGGUGGUUCUGAAUGGAAGGGCCAUCGCUCAACGGAUAAAAGGUACUCCGGGGAUAACAGGCUGAUACCGCCCAAGAGUUCAUAUCGACGGCGGUGUUUGGCACCUCGAUGUCGGCUCAUCACAUCCUGGGGCUGAAGUAGGUCCCAAGGGUAUGGCUGUUCGCCAUUUAAAGUGGUACGCGAGCUGGGUUUAGAACGUCGUGAGACAGUUCGGUCCCUAUCUGCCGUGGGCGCUGGAGAACUGAGGGGGGCUGCUCCUAGUACGAGAGGACCGGAGUGGACGCAUCACUGGUGUUCGGGUUGUCAUGCCAAUGGCACUGCCCGGUAGCUAAAUGCGGAAGAGAUAAGUGCUGAAAGCAUCUAAGCACGAAACUUGCCCCGAGAUGAGUUCUCCCUGACUCCUUGAGAGUCCUGAAGGAACGUUGAAGACGACGACGUUGAUAGGCCGGGUGUGUAAGCGCAGCGAUGCGUUGAGCUAACCGGUACUAAUGAACCGUGAGGCUUAACCUU
rnacentral:rRNA from 1 species